rnacentral:misc_RNA from 1 species
GAUGAAGAACGUAGCGAAAUGCGAUACGUAAUGUGAAUUGCAGAAUUCAGUGAAUCAUCGAGUCUUUGAACGCACAUUGCGCCCCCUGGUAUUCCGGGGGGCAUGCCUGUCCGAGCGUCAUUGCUGCCCUCAAGCACGGCUUGUGUGUUGGGCCUCCGUCCUCCUCCCGGGGGACGGGCCCGAAGGGCAGCGGCGGCACCGCGUCCGGUCCUCGAGCGUAUGGGGCUUCGUCACCCGCUCUUGUAGGCCCGGCCGGCGCUUGCCGACACAUCAAUCUUUUUUCCAGGUUGACCUCGGAUCAGGUAGGGAUACCCGCUGAACUUAAGCAUAUCAAUAAGCGGAGGA